rnacentral:rRNA from 1 species
AACGAACGCUGGCGGCAGGCCUAACACAUGCAAGUCGAGCGCCCCGCCAGGGGAGCGGCGGACGGGUGGGUAACGCGUGGGAACGUACCCUUUGCUACGUAAUAGCCUCGGGAAACUGGGAGUAAUACCGGAAGUGUCCUUCGGGAGAAAGAUUUAUCGGCAAGGGAUGGGCCCGCGUUGGAUUAGGUAGUUGGUGGGGUAAUGGCCUACCAAGCCGACGAUCCAUAGCUGGUUUGAGAGGAUGAUCAGCCACACUGGGACUGAGACACGGCCCAGACUCCUACGGGAGGCGGCAGUGGGGAAUCUUAGACAGUGGGCGCAAGCAUGAUCGAGCCAGGCCGCGUGAGCGAUGAAGGCCUUAGGGUUGUAAAGCUCUUUCAGGGGGGAAGAUAAUGACUGUACCCCAAGAAGAAGCCCCGGCUAACUCCGUG